rnacentral:tRNA from 1 species
AUUUAUAUAGUUUAAUAAAAACAUUACAUUUUCACUGUAAAAAUAAAAAUCCCCAUUUUUAUAAAUU